GUGACUGUCCACACUGUGUGCAGCAGGCCACUGUGCCCCUCCGGGGUUUCUCCUCUUCACGGCUCAAGGGCUGCCUGUUGCCCAUGGCCCAGCCUCCAGCCCCAGCCCGCCCUGCUCUGCGCUGCCUGUGAAUCUGUGAGCGGCCUUGCACAGUCCUGGUCCUGUGCCGGGCGAUCUCCUGAGCACAAGUCCGCAGGGCUCUCCUGUAUCAUACCAUGUGUCUGCAUUCCCUUUCUUCAGGCCGCCGUUGCAGUCCAUAAAGCCUCAUGCAGUCAUAGGACCUCUGCUGGGCCUCCGCAGAACUGGAAGGAAGACGCAGGACCCUCCCAGCUGCCGGGCCAGGUGCAGGACAGAUAAAUGGUGAGUGUUUUUCAGUAUAUAUGUGUCUUAAAUAUUGCAUGGGCUACACUCAUACUGAGAAAGUGUUGUGUACCUGAAUUCAAAUGUCCUGGGCCUCCUGUGUUCUGCCUGCUGAGCCCUCUUUACAGCACAGAUAUCUGCAAAGGGGCAGCUG
rnacentral:lncRNA from 1 species